rnacentral:rRNA from 1 species
UACGUAGGUGGCAAGCGAUACUCGGAAUCACUAGGCGUAAAGCGCAGGUAGGCGGUGCGAUAAGUCUCUUGUGAAAGCUCCCGGCUUAACUGGGAGAGGUCAAGGGAAACUGUCGUGCUCGAGUGUGGCAGAGGAAACUAGAAUUCCCGGUGUAGCGGUGAAAUGCGUAGAGUAUCGGGAGGAAUCCACAGUGGCGAAGGCGGCGAUCCUGG